CCUGCCGCCCCUGCGCCGCCGAGCCAGCUGCCAGAAUGCCGAACUGGGGAGGAGGCAAGAAAUGUGGGGUGUGUCAGAAGACGGUUUACUUUGCCGAAGAGGUUCAGUGCGAAGGCAACAGCUUCCAUAAAUCCUGCUUCCUGUGCAUGGUCUGCAAGAAGAAUCUGGACAGUACCACUGUGGCCGUGCAUGGUGAGGAGAUCUACUGCAAGUCCUGCUACGGCAAGAAGUAUGGGCCCAAAGGCUAUGGCUACGGGCAGGGCGCAGGCACCCUCAGCACUGACAAGGGGGAGUCGCUGGGUAUCAAGCACGAGGAGUGAGUAAAAGAUCCCCUCCCAACCUUUUUCUUGAGCUCUCUCCCCCACCCUGUAUUAGGCCUCAUGUGUAUUUACAACCAUUUUUGGGUAAGCAAUGGAAGGCUCAGAAAACCAGUUAUUUAAAAGGCAGUCACAGAGCAGUGCCUAUGUGUCAGGCUGCUGCAGGAGCUGGGGAUGCAGCAGGGACUAAAACAGGCUGGGCUCCUCCCUGCAAGGAGCAUGCAUUCUAUAUUUGUAUGAGAGUCAGAGCUGGGAGGGGCCCCAAGAAUCACUUAGUCCAAUUUCCUCUUUUUUUGUUUUUUUUGAAAGGGAGUCUUGCUCUGUCACCCAGGCUGGAGUGCAGUGGUACAAUCUUGGCUCACUGCAGCCUCUGCUUCUUGGGCUGAAGUGAUCCUCCUGCCUCAGGCUCCCGAGUAGCUGGGAGUACAGGCAUGUGCCAC
rnacentral:sRNA from 1 species